rnacentral:rRNA from 1 species
CAGUAGCCGCGGUAAUACGUAGGGUGCGAGCGUUAAUCGGAUUUACUGGGCGUAAAGCGUGCGUAGGCGGCUUCUUAAGUCGGAUGUGAAAUCCCUGAGCUUAACUUAGGAAUUGCAUUCGAUACUGGGAAGCUAGAGUAUGGGAGAGGAUGGUAGAAUUCCAGGUGUAGCGGUGAAAUGCGUAGAGAUCUGGAGGAAUACCGAUGGCGAAGGCAGCCAUCUGGCCUAAUACUGACGCUGAGGUACGAAAGCAUGGGGAGCAAACAGGAUUAGAUACCCGCGUAGUCCCUGUCUCUUAUAC